CCUACGGGUGGCAGCAGUGAGGAAUAUUGGUCAAUGGGCGGAAGCCUGAACCAGCCAAGUCGCGUGAGGGAGUAAGGCCCUACGGGUCGUAAACCUCUUUUGCCGGGGAGCAGUGCCCAGCUCGUGAGCUGGGAGGGAGCGUACCCGGAUAAAAAGCAUCGGCUAACACCGUGCCAGCAGCCGCGGCAAUACGGGGGAUGCGAGAGUUAUCCGGAUUUAUUGGGUUGAAAGGGUGGGUAGGCGGGCCUUCAGGCCGGCGGUAAAAUUGCGGGGAUCAACACCGCCGAGCCGUCGGAACCGGGGGCCUUGAGUACCGGAGAAGUACGCGGAAUGCGUGGUGUAGCGGUGAAAUGCAUAGAUAUCACGCAGAACCACGAUUGCGAAGGCAGUGUACCGGCCGGUCACUGACGCUGAGGCACGAAAGCGCGGGUAUCGAACAGGAUUAGAUACCCCUGUAGUC
rnacentral:rRNA from 1 species